rnacentral:lncRNA from 1 species
GUUUCCACCAUCUGCACAUUUAUUGAACAUGCUCAAUGCUCCAUCAUUGUCUCAUAACAACUGCCUGUACAAGAAAAGCCACCAACUCCAGUAUGUGACUUUGCUGAUGGUUUAUUACCUUAAGGAAAAGACUUACACAGAGAAAUUGAGCAAUGAAAACCCUUCACAUUGAGCAAACACAUUCCACGCUACACAAAUCAUGAGAAAAAUGAGAACUGUUGUGAAACAUGACAGAUUGCCCAAGUGUUAUUUUUCCUCUAUUGGAAAAUUCUAAGACGUUUCCUCAUGUGUAGUUUUUCAGUCACAAAAAUGGCAGUAGGAAUAUUUAAAUAUUAAAUCACAGUUUGAAAAUAGAUACAUACAUACAUAUAUAUACACACACAGGGAUACAUAGUUGACUUAUGAUUCCCAGAUAUGCAGGGUUAUCAUUGUGACUGCUUUGGAUCAAGACAAGUUUGUAAAAAGCAGCGACAUAGUUCAACAUAAUAGUCAGGAGCUAGAUUACUUCCCUGUAAUUGCUAUGCACACACAGUACAAGGCUAGCGAGAUUAUAGACAAUCAUGUCAUUCGAAUCUACUAUCUUUGAUAAUUCUGAAUCAUUUUCAAAGUUAAAAUUGCAGCUAUUGUCAGUAAAGCGCCUCUUAUAAAGGUCAUGCCUUUUGAUUUGGGGGACAGAAUAACUAGGCGUAGCACAAGAAGAGAUGGCUCAGGUAUCAGACUAUCCUGGGUUUCCAGUCUUGGUCUGCUGUUCACUAGCUGGUAAGACCUUGAGUACACGACUAAACUUCUGUGAGACUCAGAUGAUAAUGCCAUAUUCUAUAGGUUUGCUGUGAGGAUUAAAUGAGAUAUGGCAGGAAAGCACCUUCCACAAGGCUUGGUGUAUGCUAAGCGCUCAAAAAAUGCUUAUGAUAAGGUUUAGCAAGAUUUAACUUGGUGAAUUCAGGUCUCCUUCCCUUUUGCACACCUAAGCACACCUGAGUAAUUCACUCUAAGUAUGAAUGUAAAUUUCCUCAGCAAAGGUUAACUAACCCUUAGGGUAGCUUUCCUUUGUCUCAGAACAUAUAGUUAACAAGGGACCACAGAGGUGAUGAUCUAUUUGGUCUGUUUGAAGCCCCUUGUAGAUGUAAUUCUCCAAUAGGUGUCAUUCAGGUCUUUUCCAGAGCCUCCAGCUCUAGAGGUCACCCCAGGCUGCUACCAAGGGCACCCACUUCUUGGUUUGACCCACACCCCUACCUGAACCUGUCUUGGUCAUUUCAGUGGGUCUGGCAUGGUCUGCAGCUGGGUCUCUCAAGGCUCUGUAAGAGUAGAGGAGUGUUCCAGGGCACCACUCUCAGGGGCCAGACAGGCCAGUCCAGAGGCCUUACCAAUUCCUAUGAACCCCAAGCAGGACAAGGGAGAAGAUUCAAGGAAGAGCCUGGCCAACUGCCCAAAGCCCUGCCAGUCAGCAGCUGAUUCAGUGUGAGAGUCAAUUGGUCCUUCUGAAACGGGCUGACCUUUCCCUGUCUCUGGAGUAUUAACUGGGGGCUUUUCCCAUCAACAGGAAUGUUUAUCAAAUUUUAUUUCUGACUGGGACAAACCUAAUCUGUACCCUUCACAGUGUAGGGGUGAAGAGAAACUUAACCUCAACAAUGCCCAGGUUAAUGGAUACAACUUUCCAUUAAAAAUCAAAAUUAAG